ensembl:lncRNA
CGUGAAUGAAUGCGUCUGCCCCAGAAAAGAUUAGAGAGAGAGGAGCCAAACUCAAGGUCUGUCUGCAUUCUGCCAUUUGCCCACCAGACGGGACCGUGGGGCGACUGUACUAGCUGGCACUAUUGUGUUCUUGUGAAUGGAGGCCCUGUCACAGACCCACAAACACACUGACCUCGCUCUGUUAUCUACCCGAGUCACGGGGUUCAAGCGCUGCAGGUUUCCGACUGUUAGAGAGAAAAUGGAUUGUCUCCUGCCUUUAACAUGUGCCGACCCGUCCUUGGGUGUAGGAGCCUUGGAUGCAGCUGUGGGCCCUGAUACAUACUUGGAUGGCUUGUCUUCCAUUAACCUUGAUCAACUGACUUCUACAAUUUCCAGGUCCAAAUCAUCUACCUGUUUCGUGGAUCCGAUUUCGACUCGGCUGCUUAAGAAGCUUUUUCCUUUAAUUAGUAUGUCUUUACUGGAUAUUACGUAUAUGUCUGUUGACGAGACAUGUACCGCAGUCCUUCAAGGUAGCUGUAAUUAAACCUCUUCUUAAAAAAAAACUAUUCUUGCUCCAGAGGUGUUGGUAAACUACCGCUAAUCUCCUCUUCCUCUAUAAGAUCCUGGAGGAAAUACAAACACAAAUCAGUUGUGUGAGUUUCUACAUAACAAUGGACAAAGGACUCGUCUCUGUUCUUGUCUUGCUGGACCUCAGCUGCCAUGUCUGACACCAUUAACCAUUGUAUCCUGUUGCAGAGACUAGAGACAUCAGGACCACAGAGAGCCUUUACAUCUUCCGUCUAAAGACACACUUCUUUAGAUUAUACCUGCAAUGUAAUUGGUAUUAAAAAUCUGCACUCUGGCUUGUUCAAGUCGUAUUUUUCGGAUCGAUCCCAGUUUGUGCAGUUUGUUCAUCAAGCGGUGAAUCCUUGAUGACUCCAAAGUUGGUCACGGAGUCCCACAAGGUUCUGAGCGUGAGCGAUUUUAUUUACGCUCUGUAUGCUUCCUUCAGGCAAUGUUAUUAGAAAACACUGCAUAAACGUCUGUUGUUAUGCAGAUGACACUCGAUUGUAUCUGUCGAUCAAGCCAGAUGAGACCGACCAGCUCGUUAGACUUCAGGAAUGUCUUGGAUGACCAGCAAUUUUCUGAUGUUAAACUCAGACAAAACAGAUGUUGAUAGGACCAGAGGGCCUUUGAAGUCAGCCGUCUUGUGAUCUCUGGUGAUCUGGUAUCCAGGAGAGGGAUCCCUCCUCUGCCGUUCCCCCCAAGGUCUGAUGCAAAUUAGUGAUUUACGAUUCUUGGCUAUAUAAAAUAAAAUGAAUUGAAUGGAA